GAUGAACGCUAGCGGCAGGCCUAAUACAUGCAAGUCGAACGGUGUCUUCGGACAUAGUGGCGCACGGGUGCGUAACACGUAUGCAACCUACCUUACAUUGGGGGAUAGCCUUUCGAAAGGGAGAUUAAUACCGCAUAAGACAGUAGCUGGGCAUCCAGCAGCUGUUAAAGAUUUAUCGAUGUAAGCUGGGCAUGCGUCCAAUUAGCUAGUUGGUGAGGUAACGGCUCACCAAGGCAAUGAUUGGUAGGGGAACUGGGAGGUCAAUCCCCCACACGGGCAAUGGGUUACGGGCCAGGCUCCUACGGGAGUCAGCAGUAGGGAAUAUUGGGCAAUGGACGCAAGUCUGACCCAGCCCUGCUGCGUGCAGGAUGAAGGCGUUAUGCGUUGUAAACUGCUUUUAUACAGGAAGAAACGACUCUUGCGAGAGGCAUUGACGGUACUGUAUGAACCAGCACCGGCUAACUCCGUGCCAGCCGCCGCGGUAACAC
rnacentral:rRNA from 1 species